ACGGGUGAGUAACACGUGAGUAACCUGCCCUUGACUCUGGGAUAAGCCUGGGAAACUGGGUCUAAUACCGGAUACGACCAUCUGGCGCAUGUCAUGGUGGUGGAAAGCUUUUGUGGUUUUGGAUGGACUCGCGGCCUAUCAGCUUGUUGGUGGGUAAUGGCCUACCAAGGCGACGACGGGUAGCCGGCCUGAGAGGGUGACCGGCCACACUGGGACUGAGACACGGCCCAGACUCCUACGGGAGGCAGCAGUGGGGAAUAUUGCACAAUGGGCGCAAGCCUGAUGCAGCGACGCCGCGUGAGGGAUGACGGCCUUCGGGUUGUAAACCUCUUUCAGUAGGGAAGAAGCCGUAAGGUGACGGUACCUGCAGAAGAAGCGCCGGCUAACUACGUGCCAGCAGCCGCGGUAAUACGUAGGGCGCAAGCGUUAUCCGGAAUUAUUGGGCGUAAAGAGCUCGUAGGCGGUUUGUCGCGUCUGCUGUGAAAGACCGGGGCUCAACUCCGGUUCUGCAGUGGGUACGGGCAGACUAGAGUGCAGUAGGGGAGACUGGAAUUCCUGGUGUAGCGGUGAAAUGCGCAGA
rnacentral:rRNA from 1 species